GGAGGUAAAUGAAACCAACCGGGAUCGCCUUAGUAACGGCGAGUGAAGCGGCAAAAGCUCAAAUUUGAAAUCUGGUACCUUUGGUGCCCGAGUUGUAAUUUGGAGAGGGCAACUUUGGGACCGUUCCUUGUCUAUGUUCCUUGGAACAGGACGUCAUAGAGGGUGAGAAUCCCGUGUGGCGAGGAGUGCGGUUCUAUGUAAAGUGCCUUCGAAGAGUCGAGUUGUUUGGGAAUGCAGCUCUAAGUGGGUGGUAAAUUCCAUCUAAAGCUAAAUAUUGGCGAGAGACCGAUAGCGAACAAGUACAGUGAUGGAAAGAUGAAAAGAACUUUGAAAAGAGAGUGAAAAAGUACGUGAAAUUGUUGAAAGGGAAGGGCAUUUGAUCAGACAUGGUGUUUUGCGCCCUCUGCUCCUUGUGGGUGGGGGAAUCUCGCAGUUCACUGGGCCAGCAUCAGUUUUGGUGGCAGGAUAAAUCCGUAGGAAUGUAACUUGCUUCGGGAAGUAUUAUAGCCUAUGGGAAUACUGCCAGCUGGGACUGAGGACUGCGACGUAAGUCAAGGAUGCUGGCAUAAUGGUUAUAUGCCGCCCGUCUUGAAACACGGACCAAGGAGUCUAACGUCUAUG
rnacentral:rRNA from 1 species